CUUGGUCAACAGGAAAGAGGUGGGACCUCCUGGCUUUUCCUCUGCAGCAUGGCUCAGACCUAGUGCAAUGUUUAAGCUCCCCUCUCUUCCCUGUUCAG
ensembl:miRNA